GUGAAUCAUCAAAUUUUUGAACGCAAAUUGCACUCUCUGGUAUUCCGGAGAGUAUGCCUGUUUGGGGGUCAGUUAAAAUAACAAUCGGUGUUGUUGCUUCCUUUCGUGUUGACGCACCCGAUUUGGGUCGUCUUGCCUUCGGUUAAGUGACCUAAAAUUUUGCAUGAUUCUUUCGAACGUAUUUAAAUGAUUUUACGUACGUUUGCGUUAUCGAAUACUAGGUGUGGUCAUCCUUAUGAUUCGCGCCGAUAAUCUUUCAUCAAAAU
rnacentral:misc_RNA from 1 species